GCUCCUGUAGUGUAGUCCGGUCAAAUUAUUGCCGAAAGCAUCUGGCCCUCUCGAGGCCAAGACCCGAGUUCAAAUCUCGGCAGGAGCA
rnacentral:tRNA from 1 species